rnacentral:rRNA from 1 species
UGGGGAAUAUUGCACAAUGGGCGCAAGCCUGAUGCAGCCAUGCCGCGUGUAUGAAGAAGGCCUUCGGGUUGUAAAGUACUUUCAGCGGGGAGGAAGGUGUUGUGGUUAAUAACCGCAGCAAUUGACGUUACCCGCAGAAGAAGCACCGGCUAACUCCGUGCCAGCAGCCGCGGUAAUACGGAGGGCGCAAGCGUUAAUCGGAAUUACUGGGCGUAAAGCGCACGCAGGCGGUCUGUCAAGUCGGAUGUGAAAUCCCCGGGCUCAACCUGGGAACUGCAUUCGAAACUGGCAGGCUAGAGUCUUGUAGAGGGGGGUAGAAUUCCAGGUGUAGCGGUGAAAUGCGUAGAGAUCUGGAGGAAUACCGGUGGCGAAGGCGGCCCCCUGGACAAAGACUGACGCUCAGGUGCGAAAGCGUGGGGAGCAAACA